CCCUUCUCAGUGUCAUAUCUGGGGAGUUUCCAGUACUCUACCAGUCUUGGCUACAGGAGGGAGAGUCAAGCAGAGACAUAUCCAUUCCAUUCCUAGCUUGGGCAGUGGCUACUGAAUGGAAGGCAAUCUGUUAGAAGU
rnacentral:snoRNA from 2 species